GGAUGUGAGGGCGAUCUGGCUGCAACAUCUGUCACCCCAUUGAUCGCCAGGGUUGAUUCGGCUGAUCUGGCUGGCUAGGCAGGUGUCCCCUUCCUCCCUCAAUGCUCCAUGUGCAUCCCUCCUGAAGCUGCAUGCUUGGUCGAAGAGGAUGACCACCCCCGAUAGAGGAGGACCAUUCCUCGGUCAAGGGUAUACAAGUAGCUGCACUCCCCUGCUAGAACCUCCAAUCAAGCUCUCAAAAGAGGAAUACCUAAUUCAGACUUGCAGGUAGGAAUAUUAACAAAGAAAACUCUCUGACUCCUAUUCUGAAAUUG
rnacentral:snRNA from 1 species